rnacentral:rRNA from 1 species
AUGGGUAGAAGCAAGGUUAAUCCUAUUUGGAAGAAGAUUUGGAAUUUAGCUUGUCAAGCGAAGGUAAAAAUCUUUAUAUGGCAUACGCUUCAUGGGACCCUACCGUGUCGUGUUACGCUGGCUAAUAGACACAUGAAAGUUUCGCCCGUAUACACAGCUUGUUCGAAUGGGCCAGAAGAUACCAAGCACAUGUUAUUUCUAUGCUAGAAAGCAAAAGAAGUGUGGGAUAAAUUGGGAAUGUUUGGAACAAUUAGAAAAGCAUGUGUUGUUGAUCCUGCGGGAGAGUCGGUCUUUGAAUCAUUACUCCUUAUGCCAGAACAAGAACUAGCUAUUUUGGGUUUUCAGAAUGCACGAGAGAUGAUUGCUAUAACCGUGUGAUAUUUAUGGUGGAAUAGAUGA